GAAGUGCAAUUAGGGUGGGUGCUGCCUCUUUAAGAGAAUUCCCUCAGUUCUGAGACUUUUUUUUGACACAGACUUUUGAAGAACAGACACUUUGCAAUCAAUACAUUUCUUCCGCUAUAGAUAUAAAGGAGCCCUACAUGACAGUUUGAGAAUGGCCUUUUUCUGAAUACAGUAUGCCUGUGAAUCAAGUCCUACUGACAUAAAAGUAGAUCAACCUUGACGUACCGUUCCCUGUAAAUGCUUCCUUACUUAAGUUGAUCAGAAUGCUUGGAGCCUGCAGUAGGAUAUCCUACACAAAAUAGGCCAAGGAAAUGUCUAUGGUCAGGCCUCUCAGGCCUGGCUUGCUCUGUUUGAACAUACUGCUGAGAGAGUAUGAAGAAAACUGGAAAGAGUAUUGGACUUCAACUUAGACAAUAUGGGCUUUUGAUCCCAGUUGCACCAGUUAUUAGAUGAGAAAGAUUACACAUGAGGAUAAUGGAGGAUAUGAGGACUGCCCAACAGCACACAGCUGAUGAGUGUUUGAGGCAGGAUUAGGUUGACUUCCAUGACCUACCAAAGGGUUUCCUUGGAAUGCAGUUUUACUGAAUACAGCACAAAAUAAAUUAGGCAGCAGGGGGUAAUAGGCUUUGAACUUUGGGUUAGAAGACCUAGUUGUGAUGUCUCCAGUUACUAGGCAGUUGAACUUGAGCAAAACUAGUAGCAUAUCUGAUAUCAAGAUAUUUCAUAUCUAGAGAUGAGAAGUAUAAGUGCUAGUACCUCCAACCUCACAGGUGGUUGUAAUUAAUGUUCUAAGAGUAUGUAUCUUGUCAGGAUAGAGGAAAUGUUAUCAUUUUUUUCAUUUACAACUUUUCCCUCUCCCUCAUUCAGUAAUUUCAGCAUCUAAAGCAAAUUUAUUUGAGAAUGAGAGGUGAGUUAAGGGAUGACAACUAAGGCAUGACCACUCCUGUGGUAGACUGAGAAAAGAGGUCAUAGUAGUUGAGAGGACUGCGGGAGUGAGAAGUCAUGAUUUUUGAUUUUAGGGACUAGAGUGGAGAAGAUUGCCAGCUGUUCUUCCUUCAUUCAUGAAGAGGACCAAUGAUAUCAGAAGGGUUAUUUUAUUUGUUUCACCACUACCUGAAUGUGGUCACCAGAGAGAAGUAUGAUGGAUCCAGGAAGAGGGGACUGGGUGAAUGAAGAUAGUUGGCAAUCCCUGGCAUGCCUUCUCCCUGACAGAAUAAUUUGAAUUUGGUUGUGAGGGACAAAUAAAAUAUUGCACAGUAAGCACUGUAUAAA